CCCUUCCUUGCGGCGGUGCCAGGCUCUGGAGGCGGGCAGGCAUCUGGGGGCGACUGGGGCGCCACGCCCCUCUUCCCUACUUUCUUCCGGCUCUUUCUUGGGACUAGCGGGCGGGCUAGCAGCCCCGGAACCCGCUCGCCGCUGGGUCUAGCGGGGAGAUAGCGGGUGGGGGGGGGAGAACCCACCUCACAUGUUCCGCGAGGGACCCCCACCAGUGAGUGGCUCUGAGACGCUAUUUGCAGAUUCAUUCUACCACUUCCAACCUGAAAACGGUGGGCCACAGGAAGUCUUUCUGGUUUCA
rnacentral:lncRNA from 1 species